UUUCCGUAGGUGAACCUGCGGAAGGAUCAUUAUCGAGUUGGGGUCCUCUGGGCCCAAUCUCCCACCCAUGUUUAACUACCAUGUUGCUUUGGCGGGUCGCGGCGACUCGUUCGCCCCGCCGGCUACGGCUGGUGCGUGCCCGUCAGAGGUUUUUACCAAAACUCUUUGUGAAUUGUCAAGUCUGAACCACAAAAAAUAAGCACAAAACUUUCAACAACGGAUCUCUUGGUUCUGGCAUCGAUGAAGAACGCAGC
rnacentral:misc_RNA from 1 species